rnacentral:lncRNA from 1 species
CUACAAUGUCUCUCUUAUCUGAAGUAAAUAUAAUUUGAUGAAUACAAUUAAGGAAAAUUGACCUAAGGUGAAAGGACAAAUCAAAACAUCUGUGCAAUAUGCUAUCUGUGGGAGCAUUUGGUUACUGUUGUAACAUAAACUAACCAAACAGUUUUAUUAUUUAUUAUUUUAAUAAUCAAAACUGGCAAACUUCCUACUAAGCCCCCUAAAGUAUGAGAGGUCUAACCAGCAGGUAUAGACUUUUCAGGAGGGAGAAAUGAGGCUGCAAUUUUGAGGGGCUCUUCUGGAACAUGUCUGGAAGAUGAAUGUUGAGGAACAGUGUGGGCUUUGGUGUACUCAGAUGAUGUCUGUCAUGGGGAGGCAGGAAGUCAAUGCUCAGAAUCUGGGCUGGUGUCUUUGAGGUCAGUAGUUUUGGGAAAUUCUAGAAAGUCUGGUUGGAAACCUCAUUAAGGCCUCUUGCCUGGUACUUGAAUGCCCAAUUUGCAGUCUGAACCACAUAGAGCUGGGUUUUCAUUUAUAUCAGCACAUCCUUAUGUCAGUGUUAAGGGAGUGGCCAGGACAAGUGUCUUGGG